AUCUGUCAGAAGCUGUUAAUAAAAUGGUCACAUUGUCUCAUAAUCAGCUGAUAAUGCGUAUCCGCAUUUUGUUACAAAAUUACAAUUUGCUUUGCUCUGUUUUUCCUCAGAGUAUGUGCAUAUGUGACUUAUAUAUUUGUAUUACUGAAUAUAAACGGACCUUAAGAAGUAUUGGAUGCUAAGAAACCCGACUCCAGCUGCAAAGAAUCUUCUAGCAAUUGUUAAUGUCUAAUAUUUAAGCAACUUUUCGUACUGCCAUUUAAUAAGAAUUAUACUUCACUCGUCGCUCAGACUAGACAUGUAUGACUAGCAUUCAAUUUUCUCCCUCCUAGAAGUGGGAAAGAAGAUAAGAGUGCACCUUUUAAAGGGAUCCGAACCAUAUACUGACUCUUGAUCCAAUUGCAAGACACGAAAUCCAUUAAAGAGAACGGAUGUAAUCAUUUUAUAAGGCAGAGAUUCUGGUUGGAUGCGCAACACCAACCCAUCUACGAGAUCGGACCAUAAAAAGGCAAACUCAAGAAAUCCGACUAUAGCAUGCCAAUAGUAUCCAACAAUCGCAUCUCAAUGGAAAAAACCAGAUAAAUCAAAAGCCACCUUUAAUGGACCCAUUAAAACUUCCAAAAAAAAUGGAUCCACCCACGCAACCGCCUAUCACCAAAAUCCGUGAAAGAUCUAUGCCGCCAACACCUCAACGCCGUACCAAAACCCGUCUAAUCCGCACAGCCCUAAAGGCCAGGUUUAUAGCCAAAUUUUAAGAGCUCUACGCCUGCCGGUACGGCACUACGAUCGAGCACUUUCACUGUGGGCCCAAAACGAGAAGGCUGAAUACAAAUUGUGCAACAUGCGCCCAACGGUUAAAGUGAAAAAAUACCUGGAUAUGCUCGUCAUAAUUUUUGAAGUGUCAUAAAAAUAUCUCCAUAAGCAGACGAAACUAUUAAAUUGGCUCAUUAAUCAAUUUAGUCACAGAGCAACGAUAAAAAGGAGCACACACGCGAGGGAUUGGAGCACAAUAAAGUAUAAUUUUUAAUGUUGCUAAA